GACGUAGGGCGCGAGCGUUGUCCGGAUUUAUUGGGCGUAAAGAGCUCGUAGGCGGUUUGUCGCGUCGUCUGUGAAAACCCACGGCUCAACUGUGGGCUUGCAGUCGAUACGGGCAGGCUAGAGUUCGGUAGGGGAGACUGGAGUUCCUGGUGUAGCGGUGAAAUGCGCAGAUAUCAGGAGGAACACCGGUGGCGAAGGCGGGUCUCUGGGCCGAUACUGACGCUGAGGAGCGAAAGCGUGGGGAGCGAACAGG
rnacentral:rRNA from 1 species